rnacentral:tRNA from 1 species
GCCGGGGUCGCCUAGUCUGGUAUGGCGUUGGCCUGCUAAGCCAAUGAUCCUUGGGAUCGCGCGGGUUCAAAUCCCGUCCCCGGCGC